rnacentral:ncRNA from 1 species
GAGGCCCGGGCCCAUGCCCGGCCGUCGCUGGCGGUCGGUCGGAGAACGGGGGACGGGAGCGACACCGGGUUUCUUUGAAGCCCGGCCCACACCCGCGCCACGCUACGCCGCGACGAGUAGGAGGGCCGCUGCGGUGAGCCUUGAAGCCUAGGGCGCGGGCCCGGGUGGAGCCGCCGCAGGUGCAGAUCUUGGUGGUAGUAGUAAAUAAUUUAAAGUCCUUGUAAUUGAAAAGUUUUACAAAAUUUAAAAAUGCGUCUGGGAUUUCUGUGCACGUGUAAAGAGAAAAGUGACUUGAAACUAAUGCGUGCAUUGUCUGAUUUCGAAUUAGAUAGAGUUUUGAGCUGGAAUC